rnacentral:tRNA from 1 species
GAGCCGGUAGCUCAGUUGGUAGAGCAUCGCCCUUUUAAGGCGAGGGUCCUGGGUUCGAGGCCCAGCCGGCUCA